CCUACGGGUGGCAGCAGUGGGGAAUAUUGGACAAUGGGCGAAAGCCUGAUCCAGCCAUGCCGCGUGUGUGAAGAAGGCCUUCGGGUUAUAAAGCACUUUCAGUGGGGAAGAAAGCCUUGGGGCUAAUACCCUCGAGGAAGGACAUCACCCACAGAAGAAGCACCGGCUAACUCCGUGCCAGCAGCCGCGGUAAUACGGAGGGUGCGAGCGUUAAUCGGAAUUACUGGGCGUAAAGCGCGCGUAGGCGGUCUGAUAAGCCGGUUGUGAAAGCCCCGGGCUCAACCUGGGAACGGCAUCCGGAACUGUCAGGCUAGAGUGCAGGAGAGGAAGGUAGAAUUCCCGGUGUAGCGGUGAAAUGCGUAGAGAUCGGGAGGAAUACCAGUGGCGAAGGCGGCCUUCUGGACUGACACUGACGCUGAGGUGCGAAAGCGUGGGUAGCAAACAGGAUUAGAUACCCCGGUAGUC
rnacentral:rRNA from 1 species